rnacentral:piRNA from 1 species
UCUGAGUUCGAGGCCAGCCC